AAGAUGGGCCCGCGUCCAAUUAGCUAGUUGGUGAGGUAACGGCUCACCAAGGCGACGAUUGGUAGCCGAACUGAGAGGUUGAUCGGCCACAUUGGGACUGAGAGACGGCCCAGACUCCUACGGGAGGCAGCAGUGGGGAGUAUUGCACAAUGGGGGAAACCCUGAUGCAGCAACGCCGCGUGAAGGAUGAAGGUCUUCGGAUUGUAAACUUCUUUGAUUGGGGAAGAAGAAGUGACGGUACCCAAAAAACAAGCCACGGCUAACUACGUGCCAGCAGCCGCGGUAAUACGUAGGUGGCAAGCGUUGUCCGGAAUUACUGGGUGUAAAGGGCGUGUAGGCGGGGAUGCAAGUCAGGUGUGAAAGCCCAUGGCUCAACUGUGGGACUGCAUCUGAAACUGAAUCUCUUGAGUACUGGAGAGGGAAGUGGAAUUCCUAGUGUAGCGGUGAAAUGCGUAGAGAUUAGGAGGAACACCAGUGGCGAAGGCGGCUUCCUGGACAGUAACUGACGCUGAGGCGCGAAAGCGUGGGGAGCGAACAGGAUUAGAUACCCUGGUAGUCCACGCCGUAAACGAUGGAUACUAGGUGUAGGAGGUAUCGACCCCUUCUGUGCCGGAGUUAACACAUUAAGUAUCCCACCUGGGGAAUACGACCGCAAGGUUGAAACUCAAAGGAAUUGACGGGGGCCCGCACAAGCAGUGGAGUAUGUGGUUUAAUUCGAAGCAACGCGAAGAACCUUACCAGGGCUUGACAUCCCUUGACAGCUCUAGAGAUAGAGUUUCCCUUCGGGGCAAGGAGACAGGUGGUGCAUGGUUGUCGUCAGCUCGUGUCGUGAGAUGUUGGGUUAAGUCCCGUAACGAGCGCAACCCUUAUUGUUAGUUGCCAGCAAGUAAAGUUGGGCACUCUAACGAGACUGCCGGUGAUAUAUCGGAGGAAGGUGGGGAUGACGUCAAAUCAUCAUGCCCCUUAUGUCCUGGGCUACACACGUACUACAAUGGCUGGUACAGAGGCGAGCUAAGCCGCGAGGUGGAGCCAAUCCCCAAAACCAGUCCCAGUUCGGAUUGCAGGCUGCAAUUCGCCUGCAUGAAGUGGGAAUUGCUAGUAAUGGCAGGUC
rnacentral:rRNA from 1 species